rnacentral:rRNA from 1 species
UACGUAGGUGGCAAGCGUUGUCCGGAUUUAUUGGGCGUAAAGCGCGUGUAGGCGGCUUUGCAAGUCGGAUGUGAAAGCCCUCGGCUCAACCGUGGAAGUGCACUCGAAACUGCAGGGCUAGAGUCCUGGAGAGGAAGGUGGAAUGCUUGGUGUAGAGGUGAAAUUCGUAGAUAUCAAGCGGAACACCGGUGGCGAGGGCGGCCUUCUGGACAGUGACUGACGCUGAGACGCGAAAGCGUGGGGAGCAAACAGGG